rnacentral:rRNA from 1 species
AUGAACGCUAGCGGCAGGCCUAAUACAUGCAAGUCGAACGAUAUUAAGGGGCUUGCUCCUUAAGAAAGUGGCGCACGGGUGCGUAACGCGUAUGCAACCUACCUUAAUCAGGGGGAUAGCCCGAAGAAAUUCGGAUUAACACCGCAUAAAAACACAGUACAGCAUUGUACAAUGUUCAAAUAUUUAUAGGAUUAAGAUGGGCAUGCGUGUCAUUAGCUAGUUGGCGGGGUAACGGCCCACCAAGGCGACGAUGACUAGGGGAUCUGAGAGGAUGACCCCCCACACUGGUACUGAGACACGGACCAGACUCCUACGGGAGGCAGCAGUAAGGAAUAUUGGUCAAUGGAGGCAACUCUGAACCAGCCAUGCCGCGUGCAGGAAGACAGCCCUCUGGGUCGUAAACUGCUUUUAUCUGGGAAUAAACCUGCUUACGUGUAAGUAGCUGAAUGUACCAGAAGAAUAAGGAUCGGCUAACUCCGU